UACGUAGGGUGCAAGCGUUAAUCGGAAUUACUGGGCGUAAAGCGUGCGCAGGCGGUUUUGUAAGUCUGUUGUGAAAUCCCCGGGCUCAACCUGGGAAUGGCAAUGGAGACUGCAAGGCUAGAGUUUGGCAGAGGGGGGUAGAAUUCCACGUGUAGCAGUGAAAUGCGUAGAUAUGUGGAGGAACACCGAUGGCGAAGGCGGCAUCCUGGACCGAAACUGACGCUGAGGCGCGAAAGCUAGGGGAGCAAACGGG
rnacentral:rRNA from 1 species